GACGAACGCUGGCGGCGUGCUUAACACAUGCAAGUCGAACGAUGAAGAAAAGAAUCGAAGCUUCGGCAGAAAUUCAUUUCGGAUUAGUGGCAGACGGGUGAGUAACGCGUGAGCAACCUACCCCUUACAAAGGGAUAGCCUCGGGAAACCGGGAUUAAUACCAUAUAACAUUGCGACGAAGCAUUUCGAUGCAUUCAAAGCUACGGGGGUAAGAGAUGGUCUCGCGUCCCCUUAACGGGAAGGUGAGGUAACGGCACACCAUAGUGGGGAUGGGUAACCGGGCUGGGAGCGUGAACGGUCACACUGGAAAUACGACACGGUCCAGACUCCGACGGGAGGCAGCAGUGGGGAAUAUAGCACAAUGGAGGGAACUCUGAUGAAGCCGCGCGGCGGGAGUGAUGAAGGGAUUCGUAUCGUAAAACUCUCUUCUAUGGGAAGAAAAGGACUGUACCAGAUGAGAAAGCUCCGGCUAACUACGUG
rnacentral:rRNA from 1 species